rnacentral:rRNA from 1 species
GAGCGCCCCGCAAGGGGAGCGGCAGACGGGAGAGUAACACGUGGGAACGUACCCUUCAGUUCGGAACAACCCAGGGAAACUUGGGCUAAUACCGAAUACGUCCGUAAGGAGAAAGAUUUAUCGCUGAAGGAUCGGCCCGCGUCUGAUUAGCUAGUUGGUGAGGUAACGGCUCACCAAGGCUACGAUCAGUAGCUGGUCUGAGAGGAUGAUCAGCCUCACUGGGACUGAGACACGGCCCAGACUCCUACGGGAGGCAGCAGUGGGGAAUAUUGGACAAUGGGCGCAAGCCUGAUCCAGCCAUGCCGCGUGGAUGAUGAAGGCCCUAGGGUUGUAAAGUCCUUUCGGCGGGGAAGAUAAUGACGGUACCCGCAGAAGAAGCCCCGGCUAACUUCGUGCCAGCAGCCGCGGUAAUACGAAGGGGGCUAGCGUUGCUCGGAAUCACUGGGCGUAAAGCGCGCGUAGGCGGCUUUUUAAGUCAGGGGUGAGAUCCUGGAGCUCAACUCCAGAACUGCCUUUGAUACUGAGAAGCUUGAGUCCGGGAGAGGUGAGUGGAACUGCGAGUGUAGGGAGAGGUGAGUGGAACUGCGAGUGUAGGGGUGAAAUUCGUAGAUAUUCGCAAGAACACCAGUGGCGAAGGCGGCUCACUGGCCCGGUACUGACGCUGAGGUGCGAAAGCGUGGGGA